rnacentral:rRNA from 1 species
GACGAACGCUGGCGGCGUGCCUAAUACACGCAAGUCGAGCGGACAGAAGGGAGCUUGCUCCCGGAAGUUAGCGGCGGACGGGUGAGUAACACGUGGGCAACCUACCCUGUAGAUCGGGAUAACAUCGAGAAAUCGGUGCUAAUACCGGAUAAUCAUUUGAAGUGCAUGCUUCGAAUGUAAAAGAUGGCUCCGGCUAUCACUACGGGAUGGGCCCGCGGCGCAUUAGCUAGUUGGUAAGGUAAUGGCUUACCAAGGCAACGAUGCGUAGCCGACCUGAGAGGGUGAUCGGCCACACGGGGACUGAGACACGGCCCAGACUCCUACGGGAGGCAGCAGUAGGGAAUCUUCCGCAAUGGACGAAAGUCUGACGGGGCAACGCCGCGUGAGUGAUGAAGGUUUUCGGAUCGUAAAGCUCUGUUGUUAGGGAAGAACAAGUGCCGUUUGAAUAAGGCGGCACCUUGACGGUACCUAACCAGAAAGCCACGGCUAACUACGUGCCAGCCGCCGCGGUAACAC